AUGUUGCUGCUUCAAAGCCAACGUUAUGUCAGGAAGCGGGUUUUUCUUUGGCCAAAAGGUACUUAUCAGUGUCUCUACUCUGGACUACCAAAGCGUUAUAAAUAUAAGGUAACUUGCCUGGGGAAAAGUGACAUCCAGCGCGGGUCCAAUAAUUUGAUCGAUACGACCUGUACUUUUUUCUUCAAUUGUGGAAGCCCCGGGAGGAGAAGUAGUAGGAUUGGUUCUCAUAAUUAUCACAUAAUUAAAAAAAGGAAUGUCGAAAUUUUUCUUUUUUUAUUGUUGAAUAAUGCCAAAUCAAAUCAAAAAAAUCCAAAAGUAAAAGGAAAUGAAUUAGUUAAUUCAAUAAGAGAGAAAAGGGGACCAGGACUUGAUUUCGUUGCCCAAGCGAAUCCCAUUCAAUCGUUUACUCAUGGAAUGAGUCUGUUGGAAAGUCUUUCCCGCAGAAGACUCUAA
rnacentral:rRNA from 1 species